CGCGGCUAUUGCCUGUCGUACGUCCGAACUCCGGGACCCUUUCGCACUUAGGCACUCCGACUUCUGUGAAUGGCUUAUUAAAUCAAUUAUAGUUCGUUUGAUGGUAUCUACUACUCGGAUAACCGUAGUAAUCCAAGAGCUAAUACGUGCAACAAACCCCGACUUCUGGAAGGGAUGCAUUUAACAGAUAAAAGGUCGAUGUGGGCUCUGCCCAUUGCUGUGAUGAUUCAUGAUAACUCGAUAGAUCACACGACCAUUGUGCCGGCGACGCAUCAUUCAAAUUUCUAUCCUAUCAAGUUUCGAUGGUAGGAUAAUGGCCUACCAUGGUGGUGAUGGGUGACGAAGAAUUAGGGUUUGAUUUUGGAGACGGAGCCUGAGAAACGGCUACCACAUCCAAGGAAGGCAGCAGGCGCGCAAAUUACCCAAUCCUGACACAAGGAGGUAGUGACAAUAAAUAACAAUACUGGGCUCAAUGAGUCUAGUAUUUAGAAUGAGUACAAUCUAAAUUCCUUAAUGAGGAUCCAUUAGAGGGAGAGUUUUAUGCCAGCAGUCGCGGUAGUUCAGCACUAAUAACGUAUAUUUAAGUUGUUGUACUUAAGAAUAUCAAAGUUAGACUUUGGGAUUGGCCAGCCAGUUUGCCUAUGGUGUGCAUUGGUUGUCUCGUCCCUUCUGUCGGCAAUGCGCUCCUGGACUUAACUGGCUGGGUCGUGCCUCCGGCACUGUUACUUUGAAGAAAUUAGAGUUCUUAAAGCAAGACUACGCUCUGUAUACAUUAGCAUGGGAUAACAUUAUAGGAUUUUGGUCCUAUUACAUUGGCCUUUGGGAUCGGAGUAAUGAUUAAUAGAGACAGUCGGGAGCAUUCGUAUUUCAUAGUCAGAGGUGAAAUUAUUGGAUUUAUGAAAUACGAACAACUGUGAAAGCAUUUUCCAAGGAUGUUUUCAUUAAUCAAGAUCGAAAGUUGGUGGCUCGAAGGCAGUCAAAUAUCAUCUUAGUCUUAACCAUAAACGAUGCCGACUAGGAAUCGGCGGAUGUUGGUUUUAGGACUCCGCCGACACCUUAUGAGAAAUCAAAGUUUUUGGGUUCCAGGGGGAGUAUGGUCGCAAGGCUAAAACUUUAAGGAAUUGAUGGAAGGGCACCACCAGGAGUGGAGCGUGCGGCUUAAUUUGACUCAACACGGGGAAACUUACCAGGUCUAGAUGUUCUGGACUGCACGCGCGCUACACUGAUGUAUUCAAUGAGUUUAUAGCCUUGGCCAACAGGCUUGGGUAAUAUUUGAAAUUUCAUCAUGAUGGGGAUAGAUAAUUGCAAUUGUUGGUCUUCAACAAGGAAUUCCUAGUAAGCACGAGUCAUCAGCUCGCGUUGACUACGUCCCUUCCCCUUGUACAUACCGCCUGUCGCUCCUACCGAUUGAAUGAUACGGUGAAAUAUUCAGAUGGCGGCGAUGUGGGUGGUUCACUGCCUGCGACGUCGUGAGAAGUCCAUUGAACCUUAUCAUUUAGAGGAAGGAGAAUUCGUAACAAGGUUUUCAUAGGUGAACCUGCAAAAG
rnacentral:rRNA from 1 species